rnacentral:lncRNA from 1 species
UUUGGGGGGCGGGGUCGGCAUGGGGACGGGCGACCCUACAGCUCGAGCUUGAGCUCCUGGACGUCGCCGUCGCGGGUGAGGAAGUGGAGGAUGUAGGGGGCGGCACGGAUGACGGCGACGCAGGAGGCCAUGACGAUGAGGUGCGACCGCAGCUGCUUGUACGCCGCCUCCUUGCUCGGGCGCCGCGGAAUCUGGCCUAGGAACAUCUUGAUUCGCUUCUCUUCUCCGAAUCCGGUGCGCGGCGACGGGCGGCGAGGGUUUCGAGCUCUGGAGGCGGCGAGGCUUAAACCCUAGCGAUCCGAUGCGAUUGGUUCUGUGACGGUGGGUGGGAGGAGGGGUCGGGUCCUUUUACCCGC